rnacentral:tRNA from 1 species
AUCUUCAUUGGUCUAGUGGUCAUGAUUUCCGCUUGUCACGCGGGAGACCUGGGUUCGAUUCGUAAGGAUA